AGUGGAUCACCAAGCCCAGCAGGCGGCUCUCGGUGGAGACGGGAGAAGCGGCUGUCAUUCCCUGAGAGGAGAAAGACCACCCGUAUCUCGCCGCCCCGCCACCUUUCCCGCGAUGCCCAGGGUGCCCCGCCAAGGCUUCUCACCGGGUCAGUGUUGAGCGCGGUGAGUGGGGUCCGUGGCGGCGCGACAGGACAAGCCCCGGCCGGGUGGAGCGGUGGCGCGGGCGGUGGCGGCUGUCUCAGCAGAGCAGGGGUUUCUUUUUAAAAGUCUACACCUUUGUAAGACUUUACCAUGUUGAAGACAAAUGUCAAAGAGAUUUGAUAUGAAAUCUGAAUGUUGCAGUGUGUAUAUUACCAAUGGAUCCCAAAUAUCCCUCACCUGUGAGAGUUUACUGUCCGUGGCCAAGCGACUUUCACAAGAUGAACAUUCAGGAACAGUGCUUCACAGCCAAAAUACACGAGCUCUUCCAGAUUUUAGUCUAUGCUCUUCAAACAGUAGCAGCCACAGGAGUCUAAUAUGUUCCCUUUUCCAUCUGAAAAGGAAACUGAGUCUUUUUACUUACAACUACUGAUAUCAUAUAUUCUUGAUCUCUGUGUAUUUUUCUGCCUUGUCUUUAACAAUUAUUUCUUAUAAGCAUGAUUGGCCUCCAGGUUAAUUUCAGGGGGGGGGGGAAGCUUGUAGUGGCAUUGAGUGAUAUUUUCUGCAUUAACACUAAAGUUUAAAUGUGUGUGUGUGUCUAUGUUUGAGAACAUGUGUGUGCAUGUGUGUGCAUACAUGUGUAUGUGUGUGUUUGCACAUGAAGGCCAGAAGACUAUCUCCCUUGUAAUUUUUCAAACCACAAUGCACUUCUUUGGAGACGGGCUCUCUCAUUGCCUUGAAGCCUCCCAAUUAGGAUAAGCUGGCUGGCCAGCAAGUCCCAUGGAUCCCGGUCUCUUCCUCCCAGUACUGGAAUUCCAAGCACACACCAACAUGCCUGGCAUUUUUACAUGGGUGCUGGGGAUUGAAUUUAGCUCAUCAUGCUUGUAAGAUGGACAUGUUAUCAAGUCAUCUAGCUCCAAGCCCAGAAUAUUAGUUGUUUAUUUGUUUUAAAUGCUAAGACAAACCCCAUGGAAUUAGAGAUCCCUACCAAAAACUUGCUGCCUAAACAGAUUAAGUAAACAAUACUUUGCAGCUUUUAUCAUUAGUCCAAGAAAGCAUUCUUUUUCUCCCUCUUGACUUUUCCCUUGUUAAUUCAAUGAUUAUGUAUGGAGCACUGUUUAAAACUAGGGUUUGUGUUCUGGCUUCUGAGCUUGUGAGAAUGCCUCAAUUCCUGAAUGAAGAAGUUUUGGGGUUCAGGUGUCCUGAGCCCUUUCAGCACCCUUAAGACUUUGAAGGAGAUGUUUUCCUGUCUAGGCCAUGAUUUUCUUUUUCUUUCUUUCUUUUUUUUUUUUUUCGUUUUUCUUCCCUCCUUCCUUUGCUCCCCCCUUACACUCCUCUUUUUUAAGAGAAACUUUUUCAAUUUACAGAGACGUUAGAAAGGUAAGAGAUUCCAUACACUCUAUACCUACUUGGCCCUGAUUGCCAACAUCAUUCUUUAGUGGUAUAUGUAAUUAGCAUCAAUGGGUUAACAUUAUUAGGAACUGAAGUCUCUGCCUCAGUGAGACUCCCUUAGCUUCCCCCUAAUGUCCUUGCUCUGUCCCAGAGUCCCAUCCAGAAGCCCACAUUACAUUUAGUCUUCAUCUCUCCUUAAUAUUCCUCUUACCUUAUGCGCUUCUCCACAUUUCCCUUGGCAGUAUGAAAGAGUUUGGUUCUCCCUGAAAAAUAAACAGAAAUAAAGAACUUG
rnacentral:lncRNA from 1 species